rnacentral:tRNA from 1 species
ACACUGGUAGUCCAGUGGUUUGGACCCAGUGCUUUUACUGCUGGGGCCCAGGUUGGAUCCCUGGUUAGGGAA